CAGAGUGUUUUAACUGUUCAUUUGUUUAACCGUUUCACUGUUUUUUCAAUUUCAAUAAAUGCAACAUCUUUCCAAAAGUCAAUGAGCAACUGUGUUAAAUAAUCAUGUAUUCAAUGUUGACCAAAAUAAUUGUGAUCAUGAUUUAUUUUCAUAUUGUUCACUACACAUAUUCACCAUCAUACCUAAGUCACUGUGAGUCCAGGGGUGACAUGAAUAAGAAAUGCUCAAUAUAUCUAUGUGUCUUGGAUCGCAUUCUGUUUUUCUUAUAAUAUAUUCUGUUAAUACACUGCAUAUAUCAUAUUACUCUUACUACUGUUAUGUUACUUUGGCUGAUUAUGCGAUCACAUAAUCACGUUUUUCUGGAGGGACUGACUUGGCGUGUAUAUUUACCAAGUCAUGAUGCCAUGUUGUCUUAAAUGCCUUUCCAAUAACACGUUAUUUAUAGUCUGUAAAACAAAACAAUAUGUGCGUGUAGUAUUUACUCAGUGCAUUCAUCUGCCUUAAAAUGUAAUAUUUGUCUUGAUAUUUGACCGAAGUGUACUUUAAUGCAAAGAUGUUUACCAUUGUUCUACCUUUUUAAAGACCUUUUAAGAAAAUAAACACUCUACGAUA